AUGAUGUGUGUGAGAGAUGGGGAGGGGGGAGGUGAGGCAGGCCAUCCUUUUUCAUUCUAUCUUUCUGUCUCCAGGACCAGCACAGUUCUUUGCACAUAUUAGCCACUGACUAAAUUCUUAUUGGAUUGGAAUGAACUGAUUAAAUCACUGAUCUUUUGAAUUCCUGAAGCAAAUUUCUCUAGAAACCAUCUGUCUGCCUGUAUUGGAGACAUUUACCAGGCUCGAUGGGUCUGAAACAAAGGCCUCUUCUAACAACAGUUGUCCAAGGAUGCCAUGUGGCAAUGAGUCAUGGAACACCAAGUCUCUGUAGAACGAAAGCUGCGGGUCAUGCCAAGGGCAAUGGAGAAGUAAUGGUGGGCAACUUGAGUUGGCUGCAACGUGUCACCAGACAUGAGUUGUGCAAGAGAAUAGGCAUAAGGAAUGUUGUCGGGAAGAUGGAUAACCAGAGAAAGUGGGCCAAUCAUGUGGAGAGUGAGAGAGAACCAGUGUGCAGUCUGCUGGCUCUGUUGGUAUCCAUCUGAAGUGGAGGAGGAAGAAGACCUUCCAUCUCAGAACAGAGACUGAGGCUUCCCCCUCUUCAGGAUGUUGCUCUUCUUCUGGAAGCUGGUUUCACAUGGUGGCUUAGAUUUUUCCAUCUCUGUAUCUAGCACCAUUUGAAAUCAGUGUUUUAGGAGUAAGAAUUGCAGCAAGGGAAGGACAUACAGAGACAUUUUAGUGGCUCAUCUGCUUUUUAGAUCUGCCAUUUGGACUGGGAAAAGACUCCCUCCACAAGAGGAUAAUUGUCAUAAAAAUCAAAUUAAAGGGUAGGACCACGUUCAAGGUAUUAACUCCAAUGAUAAUGCUAUGAGGAACUGAGGCCAGUUUUGCAUAGGUCAGUUGAAAAAACAAAAACAAAAACAAAUCAAAACACUGGAUGGGGGAUCUCAAGACCUGAGGUUCUAAUCUCAACCAGUUACUAGCAGUGUGAGCUUGGACUAGUCAAAGGCUCUGAGUCUGUUUUCUUUUCUUCAAAAUGGAAAUUAUAGGGGCAGCGAGGUGGCACAGUGGAUAGAGCA